rnacentral:lncRNA from 1 species
GUUUCAGGCUUCUCUUGGGAACAGAAAGCUCAUGUGUCCUGGACACAUAUUCCUAUGUGACAUUAGUUGCUGGAGUGACAAGGCUGCUGUCCCAUGAAGAGCAGGAGGAAAUAGUUUUUACAGUUACACGUGUAUCCUACCAACCGCCCUCAUCGCCUGAACCAGCCUAACUCCUGUAGGUAUUAGUUUAUAAAUUCUGCUCUAAAUUGAGAAUUUCUUGGGGGGGGGCACACCUGCACCAUAUGGAGGUUCCCAGGCUAGGGGUUGAAUCAGAACUGUAGCCACUGGCCUUCGGCCACAGCCACAGCAAAGCCAGAUCCGAGCUGCCUCUGCAACCUACACCACAGCUCAUGGCAACGCUGGAUCCUUUAACCCACCGAUCGAGGCCACGAUCGAGGCCAGGGAUCAGACCUGCAUCCUCAUGGAUGCUGUCAGAUUCGUUUCCACUGAGCCAUAACGGGAACUCCUAAACCACAAAUUUAAACCAAACUCCAGAUUACCUGGAACUGCCUUCCAUAGUUUCCAUGAUGUUUGCAGCCUGAGUGCCUUAUCAGCUCGGGGUCCAGAAGUUCACUAGGCUCUCUAACUUCUGGGCUGACUGCAGACCUAAUUCAGUCUCUUGGGGUCCAGCCUGGGAGCUUAGACAGAUUUUAAACAGAUGCCUGAGAGAUGUUAUUCCCGCUAACAGUUGAAAAGCACUGCUUUGUGCCUUCUUAGCACAACGUUCUUGUUCUCCUGACUCCCGAGACAGCACGCAAGCCAUCUCAUCCCGGGAGACCUUCCAGGUCACUGCUGGGCUGGACUGAAGACUUGCCUCGACUGAACUUUCCGCCUGUGGCAUUUCUGUCACACUCAUUCUGCUCUCGACUCUCCAGCUAUUCUUGACAUUCCACACAGGGAGCAGAGUUGAGACGUUCUUUUCUAAAGAAGACAAACCUCUUUGUCUCGUUUCCUGUCUUCCUGCUUCUGGAAAGGCUGUGAGCAGGGUGGAGACUGAAGGAUGCCCAGCACCCUCAUCUGAGCUGGGUCCUUCUUCAGGCCGGAUUCUUUCCUCGAUUUCCCCGUCACCCCUGCUCCAAGUACCUGGAGGGCAUGGUCUUGCCCCUAGAGGCACCCAGCCCUUCAAGAGGCACAUAUUGCCACUGCGGUGGCAAUCGCCACACGGUGAGGCCUCGGUCAUGGUGGAGGCCCGUCAAGGACACCUCAGAGCCACUUCUCCACAUGGCAAUUAACUGACUGACUGUGUUUCCCAUCAUGGAAGUACCAAAUGUUAAAAGUGUCUGAGAGGGAGUUCCCAUCCUGUCUCAGCAAUAACAAACCCCACGAGUAUCCAUGAGGAUGCAGGUUUGAUCCCUGGCCUCGCUCAGUGGGUUACGGAUCCAGUGUUGACGUGAGCUAUGGUGUAGAUCACAGACGUGUCUUGGAUCCUGUGUUGCUGUGGCUGUGGUGUAGGCCGGCAGCUGUAGCUCUGAUUCGACCCCUAGCCUGGGAACUUCCAUGUGCCUCAAGGUGGCCCUAAAAAGACCAAACAAAAACAAAAACAAACCAAAAAAUGGCCAAGAAAAUAACUUGGCUUUGAUUUAAAAAGAUCCUAGAGUCUGAUGUGUCCCUUUUAAAAAACCCUUGUGAAACACUCAACAGGAGGCAUCAUAUGCAUUUCUAGGAAAUGUUUUGAAGACAAACAAAAGGACAUUGAGAUGGGACAGAAGGAGGCAGCCCAGUGAGUGUGCACAUUAGAGCUGCAAGGUGAUGGCUCUCCCCAGAUGAGACUGUGACCAGUCUAGCAAGGACCAAGCCAGCCACAGGUGAGACUAGGACUUCCAUGUAGAGCUCACACGGCCUCACCUGCCCACCAAGGGCAGGGACACAGGGUCACAUCAGUAGCAGCCACAACAGUACCAGCAUCUUCCUGGCCACAGAGAAAGACUAUGUUCAGCAAAGGCUUUGUGGAUGAGCAGGAUGUUUUGCGAGACUAUCAAGGGACUAAAAGGACACUGAUGACUGUCCAAGAGCCCCUCAUUUCUGGAACAAGGACUGUCCAGAGCCCUAUUGUGGCCUGGAGAUAGGGAGUGAUGUCCCCAGAGACCAUCAGCCAGCUGGAUGGUGCUAUCUUGGCCAUGAGAUUUGCUCAAGCCAACAGAAAACUUUGCAAAAGCUGAGGAAAGAGAAAAAUCCAUAAAACUAGGAUGGAGAGGGGGGAAAAAAAAAAAGAGUUCAAAACUAAAAGUCAUGAUUGAGUAAGAAAUCCAGGGGGAGGGAAAGGCUUUAGUGGAAACUAUGCCUGGAGAGCCAGAAGGUUGCCUCCUGGAAAAUGGGGCAGCCACAGCCCCCCUUGUUUUUGUAGGAAGUGAGAAGAGACGCCUUCAAAGGGCUUAGAUGGGCAAUUCAGCAAGCCCAGGGCUGAGAUUUACCGUCAAAAGGCAGGUUGGGGUAGACGGAUUUACAGCCUAUGCCCUGGGGCCAAAUAUGAAGAAAUGAGAGCUACAAACUUUUAUUGGCAAGCCACCUAAGAGAUCGUAAAGCAAAGGAGGGUGGAGUGAAUUGAUUUUCUAGAGGCAAUCAUGCCUCAAAAAGCAGGGUCUUAAGCUGGUCUGGAUGGGCCCCAGAGCAGCCACAACAGCUGGGCUCUCUCUCCCCGGCCACCAGUCCACCAUCACCCAUCCCUGUGACCACAGGGAAUUAUACAAGAAUAAAGUAUUCUCAGAGGAUACGCCGAAUAGGACCAGAAGGGCUCAGGCGGAGCAGCCUCUAUUCAUGUCACAAAUACGUAUCGCACGCCCCAUGGGCAAGGGAUUGUUCCAGACCCCUCAGCUGGGACCUCAGCCCAAAGAUCAUCCGGAGGCCUUAGAGCAUCCGUAUUUUCCUCCACCAGUUGCAUCCUGACACUCGGGAUGAAGGACCACAAGGACACUAGAAGGGAACCCAACAGUCUCUCAUGGAGGAGAAAAGGGAGCCUAAGCCUGUUGGGUCUUUGUUUUCUGUCGGCAGAUGUCCUCUCUUUUCCCUUCUUUGUCACCUGGUUGAUGUUCUAGCGGGAUGCGUUUUUGAAGAUCCGGGGAGAUGGAGGUAGGCGGCGUGGUUUAUAAGCAGAGAAGCAAUUUUCGGCUGAUGCACACACGGCACCAAGAUGUUCAUUCGGGUGUUGAGAGGAGGUGUUUUCCUGAGGAGGUGUUUUCAUUUCCAUUUUAAGUUUAAUUAUACACUGUGGCGAUUGUGGCCGAUUGGCAAAGACCUGUAGAAACCCAGAGAAGAUGAAAUGUGAAAGAAAGGGCUUACGUUCUGAAGUUCUGGGCUUUGCACUAACCUCUCCCUCAGAGUUUGAAAAGACCCAUCAAGGAGUUCCCACUCUGGCUCAGUGGGUUAAGAACACAACAAGGGUCCAUGAGGAUGCGCGUUUCAGACCUGGCCUUGGUCAGGGGGUUAAGGAUCCCGAGUUGCCAUAAGCUGUGUGGUAUAGGUCGAAGAUGUGGCUUGGACCUGGUGUGGCUGUGGCUGUAGCAGACAGCUACAGCUCCGAUUCAACUCCUAACCUGGAAACCUCCCUAUGCCACAGGUGCAGCCCUAAAGAGACAAAAACAAAACAAACAAAACAAAAAACCAUCAGGCCUCCUUUUGGAAAUACCACAGAGUAGCCUGAACCUGGUUGGGGGAGAACCCUCAUUCAGACACGUACGUGCAGGAACUGAGUGAUUUGAGGGCGCCUCUGGCCACCUCUGCAAAGCAGCCUUCUCUGCAGGGCAGCUGAGGGCGUCUCUGACGCAGGGGGAGUUCUGUCUGUCACUGGGCCGAAGGUGGGAGGAAUUCACUGGAGCUCUGUGGUCAGGCAGGAGCAUCUUGGAAGGCUAAGGAAGUUGGAAAGCUGAGAGUGGCUAAUAAAAAACAGGGCAAUACGCUGUAACAAGGCUGGAUCAUGAAGCCACACUUCAUCUGAGGAGCCGAGAAGCCAGUGAGACUUGGACCUAUUUUUUUCUAAACUAUGAGGGUCACAGUAAAAGGAAUCAGCCUUGCAAAUUUGUUUUCUUUUUUUAAUCUGUGACCAAAUACAGAAGCAGGAUUGUAGCCGAAUUUGAUCUCUUUCUGCCAAUUCCAUCUGGAGAAGAACAUCCUAGGUCCUUUGUGCGCCAUACCGCAGAUGGUUGUCGUUGAUGCCGUAGGUGAUCAAGAAAUCCAGAUUUCCCGGCCGAAUGGUCAUAUCAGAGCCUCACAGAUGUCCGUUCCCAGCCCAGGCCUAAAUCCUGCUAGACGCAUUCUUGAGGCAGUUGCUGGGCUCAGACACUGAGGCUGUCAAACAGCUGCCAACAUCAAGAACAGUUUCAGGCAAUUACCCCCCAAACCACCCGCACUGCUCACCUCUCCACCCGGCCCCCCACCUCCCUGUGGGAUUUGCAGGUUGACCAGAAAUUGGAGGGAUGUCUCGUCUCCUGCUGCAAGGCCAUCUUCCGAGGCCAGCGGUGUGCCAAGUGUGGUCCAGAUCAGCAGCAUCAGAGUCACCUGGAAACCUGUUAAGGCCGCACCGCUUCUGGCUCCAGGGCUGGGCUUCCAAGCCACCACCUGCCCUGGAUUCCCUCAUCUUCAGACCCUUUAAUUCUCCCCAGCUGGCAGGCUAUGUGAACAGUUUCCCCAACCUCCCCACCACCUUGCAAUGUAGGUUGGGGAUCUGGUGUUGCUGUGAGCCGUGGUGUAGGUCACGGACACAUUGCUGUGGCUGUAGUGUAAGCCAGCAGCUGUGGCUCCAAUUCAACCCCUGGCCUGGGAACUUCCAUACGCCACGAGUGCAGCCCUAAAAAGCAAAACAAAACAAAACAAAACAAAAAUGUAAAUUAACCCUGUGUAUCAUAUCAUUUGUCUUGACUUUAUACAGCUCCUUAGUCUCAUAGACAGUUUUAGUUUUGACGUCAUCAGAUCUGACAGGUUCUCUUUCCUUUAUCGAUUCUGAAUUGUAUUUUUUUUUUUUUAGUUUUUUUUUACUGUAAGUGAUUUACAAUGUUCUGUCAGUUUAAGAUGGCCUUGUCUGUUCCAAGAUCAUGCAAAUAUUUGCUCGUAUUUUCUGCUAGUAGGUCUAUAACCUAUCUGGAAUUAUUUUUGUAAUUGCCGUGAAGUAAAGAACUAUUUCAUCAUCUUUAAAA